rnacentral:rRNA from 1 species
CCGGAUUUAUUGGGUUUAAAGGGUGCGUAGGUGGGCUUAUAAGUCAGCGGUGAAAUCCCCCGGCUCAACCAGGGAAUUGCCGUUGAUACUGUUAGCCUUGAGUACAGUUGAAGUGGGCGGAAUGUAGCAUGUAGCGGUGAAAUGCAUAGAUACGCUACAGAACACCAAUAGCGAAGGCAGCUCACUAAGUUGUAACUGACACUAAUGCACGAAAGCGUGGGGAUCAAACAGGAUUAGAUACCCUGGUAGUCCACGCUGUAAACGAUGAUCACUCGUUGUUGGCGAUAUACAGUCAGCGACUGAACGAAAGUAUUAAGUGAUCCACCUGGGGAGUACGAUCGCAAGGUUGAAGCUCAAAGGAAUUGACGGGGGCCCGCACAAGCGGUGGAGCAUGUGGUUUAAUUCGAUGAUACGCGAGGAACCUUACC